UUGAGAGGGAGAGAUAGAUCAGCCGUGACUGAGUGUUUUGCUCAAGAUCCCAGCAUCUGCGUUAAGGGAACUUGUCUCUCACGGGUUAAUUAAAACUUCUAUUUCAGGAUCUUUGAGGAAGUACGCUGCAGUUCUGGUUGCUCCAUUAUAGGAAGGAUGUGGAGGCUUUUGUGAGGGUGCAGAGGAGGUCAGCGGGCAUUAGCAACAGGCGGAAGGUAGAGGAACGUGGAGCGCCGGAGGCUGAGGGAGACCUGAUAAAACUGCUGCCCAGACCUUCCAUAGGAUGUCAGAGGCGAGUGAGUUGGUGGGGGGUGAUGGCAAAACCCAGCGGCACAGUCACCGGCUGCUGGACCUGUGCGUGGUGGCUGGGCUGGGGCCCACCCGUCUGGAGAUGCUGCUGAAGGAUCUGCAGCAGAACGUGAUGAUGCCGACACCGUCUCUCUCGGAGCUGUUGUCCGUCCACGC